CACGUAGGGCGCAAGCGUUGUCCGGAAUUAUUGGGCGUAAAGAGCUCGUAGGCGGUCUGUUGCGUCCGCUGUGAAAACUCGGGGCUUAACCCCGAGCCUGCAGUGGAUACGGGCAGACUAGAGGUAGGUAGGGGAGAAUGGAAUUCCCGGUGUAGCGGUGAAAUGCGCAGAUAUCGGGAGGAACACCAAUGGCGAAGGCAGCUCGCUGGAACGGUACUGACGCUGAGGCGCGAAAGCGUGGGGAGCGAACAGG
rnacentral:rRNA from 1 species